rnacentral:tRNA from 1 species
GGGGGCGUAGCUCAGUUGGAUAGAGCAUCAGCCUUCUAAGCUGAGGGUCGCAGGUUCGAUCCCUGCCGCCCCUACCA